UAAUAUUGUUGAGGUGUUACUUUUCCCC
rnacentral:piRNA from 1 species